ACUAAAGAACAUGGCUACUAUCACGGCACGUAUAAAGAAAAGAUCAGCCAGACACAGUGGGUCAUGCCUAUAAUCCCAACACUUUGGGAGGCUGAGGUGUGAGGAUCACUUGAGCCCAGGAGUUUAAGACCAGCCUGGGCAACACAGCAAGACCCUGUUUCUUUUCCUUCUUUUUUUGAGAUGGAAUCUUGCUCUGUUGCCAAGGUUGGAGUGCAGUGGCGCGAUCUCAGCUCACUGCAACCUCUGCCUUCCGGGUUCAGGCAAUUCUCCCUGCCUCAGCCUCCCAAGUAGCUGGAAUUACAGGUGUCCACCACCACGCCCAGCUAAUUUUUGUAUUUUUAAUAGAGAUGGGGUUUCACCACGUUGGCCAGGCCGGUCUCAAACUCCUGACCUUAGGUGAUCCACCCACCUUGGCCUCCCAAAGUGCUGGGAUUACGGGCGAGAGCCACUGUGCCCUGCCGCAAGACCCUGUUUCUACAAAAAUAAGAAUAACGAUAAAUUAUCCAGGUGUGGUGGGCAUGUGCCUAUAGUUCCAGCUAUCUGAGAGGCUGAGGCAAGAGAAUCACCUUAGCCUAGGAGUUUGAGGCUGCAGUGACCUAUAAUUGAGCCAUUGCACUCUAGCCUGGGGGACAGAGUGAGACCCCUGUCUCUUAAAAAAAAAGGUGGGGGGAAGAAAAGAAAAGGUGUCAAAGAUCUGAGUCGUUCAGCUUGUUUACUAGAGAAGGCAGGCCCAACGCUGGAGGCUCAGCUGAGAGCAGGUGAAGCUGCGCUGGCCGAGGACGCUCGGAGCGGCUGCGUGUGAAACACGGGAAGCCUGGGCUCUGGCCUGAACUCUCCGGGCUGUGUGGGAGGAAAGCGUCCUGAUGAGCUUGCUCUCAGGAACAGAGGCUGCCUUGUGUUCAGCGUCUUCCCUGUCUUCCUUGUCCUUCCCUGGAAGGUGGCUGCCCCUGCACUGUAAGGGUGUGGCGUAACUGUGCUGUUCCCUCUCCAUGAAAAAUGUGUCUUCCAUUGUGACAGCCACGGAAUCUAGGAAACGUGAGGCCAAGCGCUGUGGCUCUCUGGACGCACUGUUGUUGCCGCGUUCCCAUGGUCUCCCAGCCACACAGGUCAUGAGAAGGCCUCACGCCCCUUAAUCCUGUGUCACCACCUUUCAUAUAACUUGCCCUACGCUCACUGCCAAUGCUCCAGGGCUCCCUGCACAGGACGCACCAAGGCAUCCUCAGCCAAGUGCCCACGGUCGUGCCAGCUCGGGUCAAAGGCUGCUGUCACAUCGGGGCUUCUGACUGCACCAUUGUGUCUCGACAAUGGCCAUCGGACCAGGGUCUUGCUCCGUUGCCCAGGUUGGAGUGCAGUAGUGUGAUCACAACUCACUGCAGCCUUGACCUCCCGGGCUCAAGAGAUCCUCCUGCCUCAGUCUCCUGAGUAGCUGGGACUACAUGUACGUGCCUCAAUGCCCAGUUUUAGGACUCGAGAAGACAUCUGGCCUCUUCUGUCUCCUGCAUUGACACCGCCUGUGUUCAGGAUUUCAUCACCACCCACCAGAACGAUUUCAAAAACCUCAAUGCAGCUCCUAUUCUCUGGAGUCUCCUGACUACAGUUCAUUCUUCACACUCUGAACAAGAGCAACCUUUCCACCAUGCAGCUCCAGUAAUGCUCCCCUGCACAGAAACCCUCAGGGACUCCCCACUGCACAGAAGGGAAUCAUGCCUUUCCAAGAAGAAGCAUUCAAAUCACAUCAACUAUGUCCAAUGAGCAACACUGAUAUGACUCCCACGAUAUAUACUGAGGAGUUUCAUAUAUAUUUAUUCAUUUAGAUACAUAUUAUUAUUACUGUUAUUAUUUUUAUUGUUAUUUUUGAGACAGAGUCUCGCUUUGUCGCCCAGGCUGGAAUGCAGUGGACAAGUGUUUGUGAGUUGGACAAGCUUUCGUAAAGUCAUGAAAACAUUGCCAGACAAGAUCAGCUAUAAUUAAAGAUGAAUUAGAAAAAACUCCAAAAUUCUGGAUCUUAAUUGUGCUAUUUCUUUUGUAAUUUUAUUUAUUUACUUUUCUUAUUACAAAACAAUUCAAAUUAUGGCAGAAAAAUAAGAAAGGGCAGACAACUGCAUACAUGCCCACAUAUGACCAACACAUGACAUCUUCCCCAUUCAAUGACAACUACUUCUUGAUCUUCUUCUAGUAAAAAAAUGAAUCAUAUGAUGUCUACUACUUGAAAACAACUCCAUUUUAUUUACUCAGUCCUCCGCUGUUUAAAAUUUAUGUUGAUUUUGACAAAUCUCAUGUUUUAUACACUCACGUUUUCACCACUUUUUUGCUAUCAGUAGAGGCAAAGAAGCAGUAACAACUAGAUAAAAUGGAUAGGAAAUAAAAAAUAAAAGGUUUGGGAAAAGACCCCUAAAGUUCUGAAAAAUGGCUUAAAAAUACUUAAAGACACAUGAAAAGUUGUGAAAACAACCCCAAGUGCACUUACACCUUACAUAAAAAAAGCGAACUGAAAUUGGUGGCUAGGGAUAUUUGUCUUCAAACAAAGCAGUCUUCUCAGUUGCUUCUGGCCAUCGCCCGCAAUCUUUCAGACUGAAAUGCUCUCUAAGAAGUCAGUGACCUUCUACCCAACAUAAUGGACGCCCCUGCACAUCAGGCCUUUUAAAUAAGAACAGACUGGCAACAACUUGUUGUGCAUAGUAGCACAAGAAGGAGACUUUGCACCUUAGUGAUAUUGAUUUGUCCAACCCAUGAACAUGGUAUAUCUCUCCAUUGAUUUUGUUCCUUAAUUUCUCUAAGCAAUGCUUUGUAGUUUUCCAUAUAUGAAAGAUGUCUUUCACAUCUUUUGUUAGAUUUAUCCGUAAGUAUCUAAUGCUUUUUAAUGUUAUUUCAAAUGACUUUUUAAAGUUUUUUAAUUUCUAAUUGUUCAUUGUGAAUGUAUAGAAAUAGAACUGAUUUUUGUGUAGUGGUGUUUUGUAUACUGCAACCAACUUAGACACAUAUGGCUGACUGAUGUUCAAAAGGUAUAAGAGAAGGUCAGUGAAGAUAAUCUUUUCAAUAAAGGGUGCUGGAAUAAUUGGAUAUGCAUAUAUAGAAACAAACAAAAUCCCAAAACAACCUUUAAUUCAUGCCUCACAUUAUAAACAAAAAUUAAUUCAAAAUGGAUCACAGCCAUAAAUGUAAACCCUAAAGCUAUAAAACUUCUAGAGGAACACAUAGAAGUAAACCUUUGUAACCUUAGGCUAGGCAAAUAUUUCUUAGAUAUGACACCAAAAGCCCAAAACACAACAUAACAAAUUAAUAAAUUAGACUUCAUAAAAAUUAAAAACUUCUGCUUUUCAAAAGACACUGCUAAGAGAAAGGAUAAGCCACAGAAUCUGAGAAAAUAUUUGCAAAUCAUAUACCUGAUUAGGGCCUCGUAUCCAGAAUAUAUAAAGAACUCUCAAAAUUCAGUAAUGAUACAAUUCAAUUUUUUAUACAUAAGACAGAGUCAGAAAAAAAAAAAAAGACAGUCUCGCUCUGUGUCCCAGGCUGGAGUGCAGUGGCGCGA